rnacentral:rRNA from 1 species
AGUGAACGCUGGCGGCAGGCCUAAUACAUGCAAGUCGAACGGCAGCACAGCAGAGCUUGCUCUGUGGGUGGCGAGUGGCGGACGGGUGAGGAAUACAUGGGAAUCUGCCCAGUCGUGGGGGAUAACGUAUGGAAACGUACGCUAAUACCGCAUGCGCCCUAUGGGGGAAAGUCGGGGACCGCAAGGCCUGACGCGAUUGGAUGAGCCCAUGUUCGAUUAGCUAGUUGGCGGGGUAAAGGCCCACCAAGGCGACGAUCGAUAGCUGGUCUGAGAGGAUGAUCAGCCACACUGGAACUGAGACACGGUCCAGACUCCUACGGGAGGCAGCAGUAGGGAAUAUUGGACAAUGGGGGCAACCCUGAUCCAGCCAUGCCGCGUGAGUGAAGAAGGCCCUCGGGUUGUAAAGCUCUUUUGUCCGGAAAGAAAAGCAUCUGGUUAAUACCCGGGUGUUCUGACGGUACCGGAAGAAUAAGCACCGGCUAACUUCGUG